AUUGAACGCUGGCGGCAGGCCUAACACAUGCAAGUCGAACGGUAGCACAGAGAGCUUGCUCUCGGGUGACGAGUGGCGGACGGGUGAGUAACGUCUGGGAAACUGCCCGAUGGAGGGGGAUAACUACUGGAAACGGUAGCUAAUACCGCAUAACGUCACAAGACCAAAGUGGGGGACCUUCGGGCCUCACACCAUCGGAUGUGCCCAGAUGGGAUUAGCUAGUAGGUGGGGUAAUGGCUCACCUAGGCGACGAUCCCUAGCUGGUCUGAGAGGAUGACCAGCCACACUGGAACUGAGACACGGUCCAGACUCCUACGGGAGGCAGCAGUGGGGAAUAUUGCACAAUGGGCGCAAGCCUGAUGCAGCCAUGCCGCGUGUAUGAAGAAGGCCUUCGGGUUGUAAAGUACUUUCAGCGGGGAGGAAGGCGGUGAAGUUAAUAGCUUCGCCGAUUGACGUUACCCGCAGAAGAAGCACCGGCUAACUCCGUGCCAGCAGCCGCCGUAA
rnacentral:rRNA from 1 species